rnacentral:rRNA from 1 species
CAACUUUCAACAACGGAUCUCUUGGCUCUCGCAUCGAUGAAGAACGCAGCGAAAUGCGAUAAGUAAUGUGAAUUGCAGAUUUUCAGUGAAUCAUCGAAUCUUUGAACGCACCUUGCGCCCCAUGGUAUUCCGUGGGGCAUGCCUGUUUGAGAGUCAUUA